rnacentral:misc_RNA from 1 species
GAUGAAGAACGUAGCGAAAUGCGAUAAGUAAUGUGAAUUGCAGAAUUCAGUGAAUCAUCGAAUAUUUGAACGCACAUUGCGCCCGCCAGUAUUCUGGCGGGCAUGCCUGUCUGAGCGUCAUUUCAACCCUCAUGCCCCUAGGGCGUGGUGUUGGGGAUCGGCCAAAGCCCGCGAGGGACGGCCGGCCCCUAAAUCUAGUGGCGGACCCGUCGUGGCCUCCUCUGCGAAGUAGUGAUAUUCCGCAUCGGAGAGCGAUGAGCCCCUGCCGUUAAACCCCCAACUUUCCAAGGUUGACCUCAGAUCAGGUAGGAAUACCCGCUGAACUUAAGCAUAUCAAUAAGCGGAGGA